rnacentral:rRNA from 1 species
AGGACGAACGCUUGCGACGUGCCUAAGAAAUGCAAGUCGAGCGGGGGAGCAAUCCCUAGCGGCGAACGGUCGCGUAACACGUAGGCAACCUGCCCGAAAGACCGGGACAACAUCUCGAAAGGGGUGCUAAUACCGGAUGUGACCAUGGGGACGAUGUCCCGAUGAUUAAAUCAUUUAUGGCUUUCGGAGGGGCCUGCGGCCUAUCAGCUAGAUGGUGCGGUAACGGCGCCCCAUGGCGACGACGGGUAGCUGGU